rnacentral:rRNA from 1 species
AGUGCCGGAAGGUUAAAAGGAGAAGUCAGCGCAAGCAAAGCUUUGAAUUGAAGCCCCGGUGAACGGCGGCCGUAACUAUAACGGUCCUAAGGUAGCGAAAUUCCUUGUCAGGUAAAUUCUGACCCGCACGAAAGGUGUAAUGAUCCCUUCGCUGUCUCGGCUGCAGACUCGGUGAAAUUUUAGUACCGGUGAAGAUGCCGGUUACCCGCAACUAGACGGAAAGACCCCGUGGAGCUUUACUAUAACUUGAUAUUGAAAUUUGGUAUAACGUGUAGAGGAUAGGUGGGAGACUGUGAGACUAGGACGCUAGUUCUAGUGGAGUCAACCUUGGAAUACCACCCUCGUUAUAUUGGAUUUCUAACUUGAAUCCAUUAUCUGGAUUAAGGACAGUGUCUGGUGGGUAGUUUGACUGGGGCGGUCGCCUCCCAAAAAGUAACGGAGGCGCUCAAAGGUAUCCUCAGUAUGGUUGGAAAUCAUACAUAGAGCGCAAAGGUAGAAGGAUGCUUAACUGCGAGACUUACAAGUCGAACAGAUACGAAAGUAGGACUUAGUGAUCCGGCGGUCCCGUGUGGAAGGGCCGUCGCUCAACGGAUAAAAGUUACCCCGGGGAUAACAGGCUUAUCUCCCCCAAGAGUUCACAUCGACGGGGAGGUUUGGCACCUCGAUGUCGGCUCAUCGCAUCCUGGAGCUGUAGUCGGUUCCAAGGGUUGGGCUGUUCGCCCAUUAAAGCGGUACGCGAGCUGGGUUCAGAACGUCGUGAGACAGU